GCUCCAUGUCCCUGGAGGAUAGCAACUCCAAACUGAAGGCAGAGAUUAGUUUGCAACAAGAAAGGUUACACAAACUCGGUAAGGACGUACACCCCCACCCCAAGUCUGAUGUUUUAGGAGCAGAAGGAGACAGCCAAAGUUAUCUAAUUGUUGUGAACAGAAAAUAUGUGGAACCUUGUCCUUUCUUUGUCAGAGUGUGAGAGAGAUAAGCUACAUCAGGAAGUGAAGGCCUUGCAGGUAGAGGAAGAGGCACGGAAUAAACAAGAGGAGAAGACACAAACACUGGAGGCUCAACUGUCCAGUACUCAGCUCUUACUUGACAAAGAGAACUCCAAGUACCAGAAUGCAUGUCACCAACAGGAGUCACUGCAGGCCAAGCAGAUGUCUCUAUUGGAGAGAGUGGAUGCUCUGGACCAGGAGUGUGAGGAGCUUCAAGGACAAUUGGGGGAGACUGAGGACACACAGACAGACCUACAGGAUAGACUGACACACAUCUCAGAGGAGAAGGACCAACUUAAAACCCAGCUCACCCAAGAACAGGCCUUGUGUUCUGAGCUGCAGCAGGAGAAGCAGAGAUUGGAGAGUCAUGUGAGCAAGCUGAAAGACAGUUUGGAUCAGCUGAGAGGAGAGGUGCAGGAGUUAGCACAGAGGGAGAGGCUGCUGGUGUCAUUCCCAGAGCUCAACCCACUGCCUCAGGGACCGCCACAGAGUAGGAUCACUUCCCUAAAUAACUCAGAGCAUUUUCUGUAUGUUAACCACAAUGUUGACAUUACUUGUACAACCUGUAUUGUUUGUAUUGUAUUGUUUGUUCAUGUGGGUUUACUUACAUAUGGUUUCAAAUAUAAAUACCAGUAUUACAAGCAUAGACCGAGUUACAACUCCAGUGCAUUUGGAAAGUAUUCAGUCCCCUUGACUUUUUCCACAUUUUGUUACUUUACAGCCUUAUUCUAA
rnacentral:lncRNA from 1 species